rnacentral:rRNA from 1 species
UUAGCAUAUCAAUAAGCGGAGGAAAAGAAACCAACAGGGAUUGCCUCAGUAACGGCGAGUGAAGCGGCAACAGCUCAAAUUUGAAAUCUGGCCUCACGGUCCGAGUUGUAAUUUGUAGAGGAUGCUUUUGGCGAGGUGCUUUCCGAGUUCCCUGGAACGGGACGCCAUAGAGGGUGAGAGCCCCGUACGGUAAGACCACCGAGCCUCUGUAAAGCUCCUUCGACGAGUCGAGUAGUUUGGGAAUGCUGCUCUAAAUGGGAGGUGUACGUCUUCUAAAGCUAAAUACCGGCCAGAGACCGAUAGCGCACAAGUAGAGUGAUCGAAAGAUGAAAAGCACUUUGAAAAGAGGGUUAAAAAGCACGUGAAAUUGUUGAAAGGGAAGCAUUCAUGACCAGACUUGGGCUUGGUUGAACAUCCGGCGUUCUCGCCGGUGCACUCUGCCAGUCCAGGCCAGCAUCAGUUUGCCCCGGGGGACAAAGGCGGUGGGAAUGUGGCUCUCUUCGGGGAGUGUUAUAGCCCGCCGUGUAAUGCCCUGGGGCGGACUGAGGAACGCGCUUCGGCACGGAUGCUGGCGUAAUGGUCAUCAAUGACCCGUCUUGAAACACGGACCAAGGAGUCGUCUUCGUAUGCGAGUGUUCGGGUGUCAAACCCCUACGCGUAAUGAAAGUGAACGUAGGUGAGAGCUUCGGCGCAUCACCGACCGAUCCUGAUGUUCUCGGAUGGAUUUGAGUAAGAGCAUACGGGGCCGGACCCGAAAGAAGGUGAACUAUGCCUGUAUAGGGUGAAGCCAGAGGAAACUCUGGUGGAGGCUCGCAGCGGUUCUGACGUGCAAAUCGAUCGUCAAAUAUGGGCAUGGGGGCGAAAGACUAAUCGAACCUUCUAGUAGCUGGUUUCCGCGA